rnacentral:lncRNA from 1 species
CAUAUACACACCCAUUUCCAUUUUUGUAUAGGGAUUCUCCAUUCAUCUUCCAUUUUCUACUCACUAGAACAAUUACACACACAGCCAUAUCAACACACAUAGAUAACACAAAAGAUCACACACAGAGUAAUACUCAUGAAUACACACACUUAUUCUCACCAUAUCUGCACACACAUACACUAAUAUAUUUUAAAAUGACAGACAAAGAAGAAGUUGAGUGAAGGAAGAUCAAGAAAAUUGAGGUUGAAAGAUUGAGAGAGGAAGAUAGAUCGAGAGAGAGAGAGUAAAAAAUAGAGAAGAGAGGGAAUAGAGAACCAGCUAAACGGGAGGGACGUAAGCCAAGUUGCCUUGAAUUUUCAGGAAAAAUUCUUGCCAAAAUCGUUUAUCUCUCACUGGUUCAGCUAUUGAAGCACCAAAAUCCCUUUAUUUUUGUUCGUUUCGGUGAAAUCAUUGAACCAGCCAUACCGCCAAUCCAGUUUUCUCCAAAAUCUAGCAAGCUGUAGCCUUCCCGUCAAUUCCUGAGCUCACUGGAGCUUCGGUGAGUCGCUAAACAUCGAAAGAAAAUUAGGGGGUCGUCUUUGGAAUUUUGGGAUUCGAGUUUGAGCUUCGUUGAUGAUUCAUUGGUUCUGAGGCUCUCGUGGUCGUGUAAAUCAGUUCAAUUGGUCGAAUAAAAGCCCCAAUUUAAGGUCCAUCUCUUUAUCUCAUUCCUAUCCUUAGUUAAUUUUUAUUGUUAUGUGUGGUUGUUUGUUAUCGUCUCGACUUUAUCUUAUUUUAUGCGUGAUGUGAAUGAUGAAUGUCGAAUGAUAUUGAUUGUGGAUUGUUGAAAUAUUAUCGUUGAUCUGUUAUGUUAGAACAAUGGUUGAGAAUGAUUUGGGAUGGGAAUCGGAAGUUAAUAAAGUAAACAUAAUCGAUUGUUUGAUUUGAAAUGGAUAUUAAUGUUGAUUGAAUCGAGGUUAAUUUUGAUCCAUUGGUGAUGUUGACCGUGAUAGAAUUAUGAUAGGCUAGUCGGGUAGGCAAAUAGUAGGUUCGGGUAGGCAAAUUUAUAACAUGUGGAUUGUUGGAUGUUGAAAAUAUUUGUUGAAUGGUGUUAUUUUAUGAAUUUGAUUCAAGUAUAUUCAUUUGGCCGGGGAAUGCCCUGAGGUUUCAUGUACUUAUUCACCGAAAAAUGCCCCGAUGUAUUAUGUCUUCGAAAGAGGUUCGUGAUCAAGGCCCGAGGCAUCGGGUAAAGUAUUGGAGUGUAGUUUAGGAUUAGUGUAGGUUAGCGUAGGUUUACAUUUUUGUAUUUUUUCUAUUUUGGGACUAUAUUAUUGGAC